rnacentral:lncRNA from 1 species
ACCUUAUUCGGCAAGGGGUAUCUUGGUGUACAGAGAUUGUUCAGUGAUGACUUCAGCUGGCUUGAGCAAUUUGUCUAUAACCUCUGGAAUUUUAGGCACUUUCCCUCUAUUUCCUGUUUGGCUCAGGCCCAGGGCAGUUUCUUCCUGGAAUUUUUUGUGGUAUUUCUAUUAACCAUAGUUCAAACUGGGAACAAGCAGGCUCAAGAUGGAGUCAGCUUGUAAAUCUGAGUUUCUUCCAUUGCCUGUGUUCCUCACUACAAAAGAUACUGGAAAAAAACUUAGGUAUGAAAAAAAUGGCAAAACACACUCAAGAAGACACAAGGAACAAAUAAGUAGUGGCCAAACACUGAAUCAGAAGACAUUGAAUAAAAUAACCACAAAAAGGAACAACAUGACAGGAAUUAGCCCACCUUGUUCAAUCAUAAUUCUCAAUAUUAAUUGUGCCAAUCUUAUAAUAAAGGGAACUUUGUCUAACAAAUCAUAUCAGAAAACAGGAUCCAUCUUUGUGUUGCCUCAAAGAAAGAUACCUCAUAGCUGAGAGUUACCAUGUAAGGUAAAUGGAUAGGAAAAGAUCUUCCAAGCAAACAGAACAAUCAGGUAUAGUUAGUCUAAUAUCCGACAAAGUAGAUCAAACCAAAAUGGAAAAAUAUACCAAAAGGAUAGUCCAAUCCUAAAGGUAUAUAUGUACCAAAAAUAGGAGCAGGCAACUUCACAAAGACACACUAUUAGACGUAAAACCACACUAACAUAAUGAUAGCAGGUGUGGUGUUUUGAAUGCUUUUCUUCUAUAUAGAUUGCUGUGGUCAUGGUGUUUCUUUACACCAAUAGAACACUAAAACAGAAGGUGGUACCAGGAGUGAGGUAUCGCUGUGACAGGUCCGACCAUACUGCUUGUUGGCAGAAUAUGGACUUUGGGACUUUGGAUUAGGAAAGCAGUUGAAUGCUUCAAGUGGGGCUUAACAGGGCAUUCUCAUAGAUUAUGGAAACAGUGGUGCUAAGAGCAAUGUAGAUUAUGAUACCUGGUUUGAAAGAUUUCAGAAAAGGAUAAGAUUAAUAAGUGGCCAAAAGACUAUUGUGAUAUUUGAUGAAGAAUGUGUCUCCUUUUGCCAUUAUCCAAAAUAUCUGAUUCAAGCUAAAUUGAAGAGUUUCUGAUUAAUGUCAUUGGCAGAAGAGAUUUCAAGACAGUCUAGGAUUGACUCUGCCAUGUUGUUAUCAGUGGGCACUCCUAUGUAGCUCUAUAAAAGGAACAAGCUGAGCAAGGAAAAUACAGAAUGUACAGUGUGAGAAGAAAAGGAGCAUCAGAAAAUGUAACAGAGUUAAGUACAGUGUUCAAAGAGAUUAAAGGUUUUUAAGGAAAUAUCUUAGGCUAAAUGGAAUAAAGGGAGUGGUAAACUCAGGCCAAGACCCCACCCAGCUAAACUUCUAACUUAUAAAGGAAUUAAAGUUUUAAGCAAAGGAAACCAUCAACAAUAGAAAUUUGAUGAAUAUAUAAUUGAAGGGGGAGGGGCACGUUCCACACCCAGCAAACAGCAGAACUCGGAAUCCUCAGCUAAGUGGUUCUGGCUUUAGAGUCAAGGAAAGGGUUGAGAACUCUCCCUCCAUGGCUAAAGAAAUUUGCAGAGGCCAGGUGUGUGUGUGUGUGUGUGUGUGUGUGUGUGUGUGUGUAGUGUUAUAUGCAUGGAGGUCCAGAGAGGCCAUUUUGUGAAGCUGCAAAGGUCAAGCCUGAAUUACUUUGGGAACUCCAAAAUGUUGGGGAUGCCAGAGUCAUGAGAUACCUGACAAGGAAAGCUUCUAACAGGAUGUGGAACUAGCCCGAGAGAGAGAAGUGUGCUGCAGUCAACGAAGGUAACAGGCACUGGGGAUCUGAACAAUGUUUGAUGUCAGGCAUGGAGAUUCAGAAUUUAGAGUUGAAAUUUGAAAUGUCCUGCUGGGUUUCAGUCUUGCUUUGGUUCAGUGUCUCCUCAUUAUGCUCCCUUUCUUCCCUUUUGGAAUAGUAAAGUAUAUUCUAUGCCAUUGUGUGUUGUAAGUGUGUGACUGGCUUUUUUAUUUUAGUUUUACUUAGGGUUACAGUGAAAAGAUUGUCUUAGGUGUCAGAAGAGACUUUCAACUUUGGACUUUUAAACAGUGUUGAGAUUGUGACAGACGAUGGGGACUUUUGAAGUUGUACAAAAUACAUUUUGCAUUAUGAUAUGUAUAUAAGCCUAUGUGGCUCAGGGAGUGGAAUGUGGUGGUUUAAAUGAGACUGGCCUUCAAAGGCCUAUGGAUUUGAAUACUUGGUUACCAGGCAGUGGUACCAGCUGAAAAGAUUAGGAGGCAUGGCCUUGCUGGAGGAAGUGUGCCAUUGGGGGUGGGUGGGCUUUGAGGUUUCACUAAGCCCAUUCUAAGCCCAAAGUUUCUCUCUUCCUGUUGCUUGUGAAUCUGGAUGCAGAGCUUGCAGCUAUGUCUCCAACACUGUAUCUACUAUGCUUCUCAUCCUCAUGACAGUGGACUAAACCUCUGAAACUGUAAGUCCCAAUUAAAUGCUUUACUUUAUAA